AGACACCAAAUAUGCGGAGUCUCGUCGUGUGUGUGCGUGCGUGCGAGUGUGUGCGUAACGUUCUCAAACAGGCUGUGUCAACACCAAGGCUGGCGGCGGCGUUGUUAUCGCCCCGUCCUGACCAAACAGGCUCGUCGAGAAAGGUGACAUCAUGCGUUGGCGCAACAAUUGCAGGUCACGUACGUGCCUCCGUACCACUUAACGCUGUCUGAUUUUUAAGGUUUGAUCAAUAAAUAUUUGGGGGAGGACGUUUUAAAAAGAGUAAUAGCGGUAAUGUGCCAUACAUGCACCUGCUCUCCAAGCACUUCCUGUCUGUUGAUGCAAAUUUUCCCAUUUCCAUAACUCAACUGCUGCUUAUGCCGUGCUGUACAAACCAUCCAAAUAUGUUAUUUUUAACCAUCAAAAUAGGUUAUUUUUACUCAUAUCACUGCUUUUAUAACUCAGAAAGUCAUCUGGUGUCAGAAGGAAAAAAACUACGGCAUGUAAAUGAGUUGAACAGCGCCUAUUGUCACAACAAAGAGAUGAAGUCAUUGUCCAUGUGCAAAGGUCAUCUUCAAGAUCAUACACACUUUUCACAUUACGCGCCUUAUGGAUAAUACUUUAAUUUUAUACUAAAUUUGCCCUUUUUGGAAAUCAAAAGUGAGCACACGUGCCCAAGCAU